rnacentral:rRNA from 1 species
AAUCAAGCGUUUAAGGGCGUGUGGCGGAUGCCUUGGCACUGAAAGCCGAUGAAGGACGUGGUAUACUGCGAUAAGUUACGGGGAGCUGUAUGCAAGUUUUGAUCCGUAAAUUUCCGAAUGGGGAAACCCACCACUUUAUGUGGUACUUUAAAUUAAAUACAUAGAUUUAAAGAGACAACCUGGAGAACUGAAACAUCUAAGUAACCAGAGGAAAAGAAAUCAAUUGAGAUUCCGUUAGUAGUGGCGAGCGAAAGCGGAUUAGGCCUGUAGAUUUGUUAAAAAAAUCUGAAUAGUUUGGAAAAGCUAACCACAGAGGGUGAUAGUCCCGUACGAGUAAUGUUUAACAAAUUUCUUGAGUAAAGCGGGACACGUGAAAUCUUGCUCGAAUAUAGGGGGACCACCCUCUAAGCCUAAAUACUCUUCAGUGACCGAUAGUGAACUAGUACCGUGAGGGAAAGGUGAAAAGAACCCCUAUUAGGGGAGUGAAAUAGAACCUGAAACCGCAUGCCUACAAUCAGUCGAAGCUCUUUUUAGAGUGACGGCGUACCUUUUGUAUAAUGGGUCAGUGACUUAAUUUAUUAAGCAAGCUUAAGCCAUCUAGGUGUAGGCGAAGCGAAAGCGAGUCUUAAUAGGGCGAUUAGUUUAGUGAAUUAGACCCGAAAACGAAUGAGCUUACCAUGAGCAGGUUGAACGCAAGGUAACACUUGCCGGAGGACCGAACCAGUUGACGUUGAAAAGUCUUUGGAUGACUUGUGGUAAGGGGUGAAAGGCCAACCAAAUUCGUAGAUAGCUGGUUUUCCGCGAAAACUAUUUAGGUAGUGCGAUGAAUAAAUAUGCGUUU